AUAGAGACUCAGAGCUGCAUAUCAAUAAGCGGAGGAAAAGAAACUAACAAGGAUUCCCUUAGUAACGGCGAGUGAAGCGGGAAGAGCUCAAAUUUGAAAUCUUCAAGGUUCUACCUUGACGAAUUGUAGUUUAAAGAAGUGUUUUCUGUUAGAUGAGUAGCAAAAGUUCCUUGGAAUGGGACAUCAUAGAGGGUGAGAAUCCCGUAUUUGGUUAUUCAUUCUAGCUUUGUGAUACACUUUCAAAGAGUCGGAUUGUUUGGGAAUGCAGUCCAAAAUGGGUGGUAAAUUUCAUCUAAAGCUAAAUAUUGGCGAGAGACCGAUAGCGAACAAGUACCGUGAGGGAAAGAUGAAAAGAACUUUGAAAAGAGAGUUAAACAGUACGUGAAAUUGUCAAAAGGGAAGCGUUUGACACCAGUGUUGUUUUCUCGAAAAUCAAUUAAGAAUGGCCUGAUUUUGUGUUGUAUUGACCUUAUCAGCUUUCUUCACUUUUUUCGAGUCUUUCUUAAUGCACUUUUCGGUUAACAAGUCAACAUCAAUUUCUUUUGUUGUAAAAGAGUCAUUGGAAGGUGGCUUUCUUUUCGGAGAAAGUGUUUAUAGCCCUUAUGCCUCUACAAUCGGAGAGAUUGAGGUCUGCAGCGUAGAUCCUUCGGGGUUAGAUACACUUGUGCUAAGUUAGUAGCCUUUCAUAGACAACUUGUUGACUAUGAUCAGUCAUGUAGGCUUACUCGCUUAUGCUAUUUUACCUACGCUUAGGAUGUUGACGAUCAGCUGAGCGCG
rnacentral:rRNA from 1 species